rnacentral:rRNA from 1 species
GACGAACGCUGGCGGCGUGCUUAACACAUGCAAGUCGAGCGGAGCGGCGAACGGGUGAGUAACGCGUGAGUAACUGCCCCCCUCUCUGGGAUCACAGUUGGAAACGGCUGCUAAUACCGGAUAGUGGGGGAUGACUCGCGUCCUAUGAGCUUGUUGGUGGGGUAGGGGCCUACCAAGGCGACGACGGGUAGCCGGCCUGGGAGGGCGACCGGCCACAAGGGGCUGAGAUACGGACCAAACGCCUACGGGAGGCAGUAGUGGGGAAUAUUGCGCAAGGGGGGAAACCCUGAGGCAGCAACGCCGCGUGCGGGAUGACGGCUUGCGGGUUGAAAACAGCUUUCAGCCAUGACGCGGUAGUGGCAGAAGAAGCACCGGCUAACUACGUGCCAGCAGCCGCGGUAAUAC